GUCCACGCUGUAAACGAUGAGUACUAGGUGUUGGGGUAUCGACCCCCUCAGUGCCGAAGCAAACGCGAUAAGUACUCCGCCUGGGGACUACGGCCGCAAGGCUAAAACUCAAAGGAAUUGACGGGGGCCCGCACAAGCAGCGGAGCGUGUGGUUUAAUUCGACGCAACGCGAAGAACCUUACCUAGGCUUGACAUGUACGUGGUACGAGCGUGAAAGCGUGAGGACUCGCAAGAGAGCGUACACAGAUGCUGCAUGGCUGUCGU
rnacentral:rRNA from 1 species